ensembl:lncRNA
CUGGAAGCAGGGUCUGAUAUUGCUCUAGGUUAACUGUGCAGACCUAGAGAGGACAGACUAGAAGCCAGACAUGACAUCAUGAUACACUGAAUGUAAUAAGGAUUUCAUUGGUAUUAAUAUUAGACAAUAAUGCCCAAGAGCAGCUGGUAAUUAGACAGGACAGCUGCUGAUGCCAGCCAUUAGUAAUGUUGAUCUAUUUGCUCUAAAAAAGAAAAAAAAAGUAUUGCAGAUGUUUCCCUGUCAACUUUGUUUUGGUUCUAAUAGACUCAAUAGCUCUUCUCUUCCACUGAAGGUAAAAAGUUCAACCCCUGCAUAAUAGACUUAGAUUGUUUGACUUGCCACAGGAUGUUCUUAUUUCUUUUUGUGUUUAGCCUAGGGCUGUAAAUCACAAACACCAGCCUGCGUAAUUCUGACUUUUAUUACGUUAAUGUAUUUUAAGAGCAGGAAAUCUAUAGGCUCUUGGCUCAGCUCAGCAAAAGCAAAGCACGGUGGGGACUCUGUCGUCAGGAGCAUUCUCAGAAAUGUGCCUCCUGCUGCAAAGGUGACCUCAGGAUAAACUUUGCUUAGCUUUCGGUCAGGGGAAGGAAGGAGCUCCCCACUUCUUAGCUCAGGUGGCAGCUGGGCCUCCUCUAGGAGGAGGAACUCAUUUUGUGAGAGUAGUGAGGGAGGGAAGAGUGGAAGAGCUGGUGGUACUGGCACUGGAGCUUCAGUGCUGAGUCCAGCUUGCAGAUGCAGGAUCCUGUUUGCUCAUCAUUGCAGAGCAGCAGUGGCAUAGCCAAGGGAGCAGCUGAGAGCCCCUGACUCAUAAACCUGGUGCUGUUUCCACUUGGGUCCAGGUGGCAGCACAUAAACUCUGCCCAGUCUCUUCAGGGAAAAAACAGAUCACCUAAGUGCAGACAUUGAUAGCCUGGCUCAGUGGUGUGCCCCUGAUCAUCUCCUGAGCUGCUUCUUUUCAGGUAAUAUCUGCAUUUGCACAAAGGUAAUGCAGCUUCACAGAGAAGGGGCCCCCAGAGAAGGACCUGUGUGCUCCUGCAGAUCACACAGGUGGGCUGGGGGCAGGCUGGAAUGAGGAUGCACAAAAAAACAAGUAAGUAGUUGAAAACCAUCUCUGUCUCACAUGCUCUGCUCUAGGACUCAUUUCUAUUCUUUGUUGUAUGCAUUAUUGCUUUUUGGAUGUUAGCAGGGACUGGGGAGGCAUAGCUGCAACUUGUCUUCAGAGUUCUAUAGGCAGGUGAGACCUCCAGGGACUACACCCUGAGAGCUGCUGCCUGACAUCCCUUUCUGGUGAGAUGAGAUAGAGGGACUAUGUGUAGAGAUAGCAUCCAUCUCAGCUUCCUUGGUCUGCUUCAAUGCCAUAAGCUAUGCUAAAUAAACUGCAGGUGAUCCAAGAAGCUCUACUCAAGCUUCACUGAGCAACGAUGACAUCCUGGCAUGCAAAGCUGGUCUUUGCUUGCAGUGGAAACAGUUCUCAUGAUUGUGCAAAAUCUUGUGUUUGGUGGAUAUAAUGAUAAUGAACUAAUUUGUGUCAACAGAUUUCUUUAUGACCUUGUUGUUUUUCCCUUUUCUUUUGCCCACCUUGUGCUUUCUUAAUUUGUAUGGAGGCAGGGGAGAGAAAUCCUAUUGAUAAGCACUUUGUCUGUAGAGCCAGGGCUCCAGUUAAGGCUAACAAACUCUAUGUUGCUCUGCCUGGGGACAAGAAUUCCCCAUGUGAAAAGCCUAACAUGAGAGAGUGGUUCUCUGGAGCUUAAUGGGAUGCAGUGCAUGUAUGAAGUCACUGAUGAACAUCAAUGUUUUCAGAAGCAAUUUUCAACAAGGAUCCAUCUUUUUGAAGGCAUACAAAAUGGAUUUCUCCUUUUUUAUUGCUUUUGAAUAUCCUACUGCAAGGCUGCUGCUCUUCAGUUGUGGAUGUAUGCUUGAGUUUAGAGUCAUUUUACUCCUCUUGAUCCUUCUCAUUCACAAGGACUCUGCCUAUUCAGGUGUGCCUCGGGUAAGCGAUGCUGAACAGCUGUGGUAAUCAUAUUAUGAGGCUGUGUUUUAACCUUUCUUUUAGCUCUUGUGUGCUGUGAGAAUUACAGCAAACUGGGCUGCGAUAGAAACGCUGCAAAAUGGAAGUUGAGAGGAGAACUUCUUCAGUAAAAGGAAAAGGGUAGGGGAAGGGUUGCAGGAGAGAAGGAGAUUUGAACAAAAUCUCCAGAUUCAGCCUCUAAAGAGGAGGGGUAGUGGAAGCUAAUGCAGUGAAAUGAGCUGUAACAAAGCCAUGCCAGGAAUUAUUCAGCUGUUCACAAGAAUUUUAGAAGAACUGUAAUUGGGAAAUGAUGUGAAUAUCAAACAAAAUGUCACUUGCUGGAAGCCUCACAAGGAGGGGGAAAUAAAAAUGAUGAAAGUGCUGCAUUACAUGUCACCCUCUUAGGCACGCUCUGAAAGAGUUCCCUGCUCCCCACUUAGACCCUUUGACAUGCUAUUGUGUGGCUUUGUGUACUUCUGAGCGGGGUGGUUCUCUGCAGAAGAAAUUAAAAUGACGGGAAAGCUGGCUUGUCACAUUAAAUAACAUCACAUGCUUUUCUGCUGGGGAGAAAAACAGAAAGAAAUACUCUGCUGAGUUCCAGGAAAAUAGCUGCUGAGGAAAUGAGUGUGGCAACUCCGUCCCCUCACCUGGAAAGUAACAGUUGUGCCAGUAUGGGGAAGCACUGGCAGGGCUCAUGUCAGACCCGAGUUUCUGCUGUUUGCUGCAGACUUGAUGUCCACAUCACAGAUCUCUCUGGCUGUCCAUAAUGACCUUCCAGCCUAAAUGCUGGUUUUCUAUUUUACUUUCUUAACAUUUGAAGUGCAUUUCUAAAUACUGGGAAGAUUUGCCACCAGCAUUUCCUGCUUUUGUUUAUUGAUUUCUGCUUUUUCUCCAAAUUCCCUGCCUGUCCUUCUUUGGAAACAUGUCCUCUUGGAAGAACCAUCACGGCUGGAUUGUACCGUGAGGUCCCCAUGGCAUUCUCCUUGGCACUCACAGUAGUGUUUCCAUUUGGAUGACCUAUGUGUUCUUGGUCUCUUUGAUUUAGUGCAAGCCUUUGUGCAGAAACAUGGAGAAACAUCCCUCUACACAUAGAAAUGGAAUCAUUAAGGCUGGGAAGGACCACUAAGAUCAUCUAGUCCCACCAUCCACCUACCACCAAUAUUGCCCACUAAACCUUGUCCCUAUGUACCACAUCCACAUGUUUCUUGAACACCUCCAGGGAUGGUGACUCUACCACCUCCCUGGGCAGCCUGUUCCAGUACCUCAUCACUCUUUCUGAGAAGAAAUUUUUCCAAACUAUCCAAUUUGAACCACGCAUUGUACAAUUUACGGCCAUCCCUUCUUGUCUUGUCUCAUGGAGACCAGGGCAGUCAUUGAGCCCUGAGUUUGGGAAGAGGAGAAGGCAUUGGCCAGAUUUGCUCUGAGCUUUACCCAAGUGAAAGGAGAAGGUGAAAAGGUGGGGGAGAAGGGAGAAGGUGAGAACUCUGUGGAGGAAGUCACAAGGUCUGUGACUGACAAGUCAUGAAAACGUCCUAAUUUAGUUAGGAUUUCUCAGUGGUCUCUCUCUCAUAUCUGCAGUCACCAGGAUCUUAGAGGGUAAUAUGGCUUUCCUUUGGCUUUGUUGCUGGGGCUCUAUGGGGGAAAAGGUAUCUCAGUACAAUGCUGUAAAAAAGUGAGUUAUCAGAAAUAUAUAUAAAAAAUCAUAGUGACAAUCCAAACACUGUUACACACCCAUCAUGUUUAGGUGAUUUUUUAGGAAACUCUCUGGCAAACAAUUUUAAGAGCUGGAAUAGGCAUUCCUAUCUUUCUCUAUAAACCACUUUGAAUAUUUACCAAUUUAUUUCUUAAGAUAAUGCUUCUAAAGAGCAAAACACUCAAAGCCCUCUUGCAUUUUUGCCUCACCUGCAUGUCUUCCCAUGUAGACCUGGGAGACGCUAGCUUUAAAAGAAGGAAAAAGUAAAGAAAAGCACUAUCUUGCAGUGAGCUGUAGAGCCUGAGGCCCCAAAGUAAGAUUUUAAGAUUUCACUCUGGUUUCUCCUAAUCUGUCUUUGAAUGUGUUUUUCUGUUUGUUUUCUAUCUAUCUAUAUUUAACAUUUUGUUGCUAUUUCCAGUUAGAGAAGUGUUGUGUCUGAACAGGGACACAGUUACCACAAAACAUGUGCGCAAGCACAGGACUGUGAGUGGACACAGCUCUGUACUUGGCUGCUGGUGUUGGUUUAUGUAGCAGCAGGGGUACAUAUAUAACCUCAAAGCAGGUGUGGUGGAGCAUUCUGCAUGGUUAAACCCAAGCUGUAAUUCCCAGCUGCAGUAUCAGAGGGGAGGUGGUCAGAAGGAGACGGAGUAGCUAUGGGAAGUGAAUUGGUCUGUCAUUACAUCAAAGGAGGGUCAGACUGGGGAUUAGGAAAAGGUUCUUCACCAGAGGGUGGUCAGGCAUGGAACAGGCUCUCCAGAGCAAUGGGCAUGGCACCAAGCUGCCAGAGUUCAGGAAGUGUCUAGACAAUAAUUUCAGACAUAAGGAUUGUUUGGGUGGUGAGACACUGGAACAGGUUGCCCAGCGAGGUUGUGGAUGUCCUCUUCCUGGAAGCAUUCAAGGCCAGGCUGGAUGGGACUUUGAGCAACCUGGUCUAGUGCAAGAUGUCACUGCUUAUAAAAGGGUGUUUGGAACUAGAUGAUCCUAAAGGUCCCUUCCAACCCAAACCAUUCUAUGGUUCUUGGUUGGCCCUGUGAGGAGCCAAGAGUUGAACUCAGUGAUCCCUAAGGGUCCCUUCCAUUUUGAGACGUUCUGCAGCCAGCAAGGAGCAGCAAGGCUAAUGGUCUCUCACUUUGCUUAUGUCACACAUUGUUUAUCAAGGAAUGCAAAGCAGUGGUGCUAGAUCUUCAUGGUAUGACUCACUAACAUACACGCCAGCAGACCUUCAUCCAGAAUCUUUGCCUGUGUAGUGCCCAUUUUCUCAUCCAUUAGAUUUUUUCUGUGAUUUUAUGUUUUUUUUAUUGCAGUGGUUGAUCCCUGUGGCUGAGAGCAAACCAUCAGGAUUUCAGGUGGGAUCUCACAUGCUCAUGGAGCUGGGGCACCUGGCAGAUGGCAGAACAGUGUUCAGCUGCCCCAGUGUAGCAAGGCGAGCGCUGACCUGUGAAGCACGUUCAGUAUUCUGCAGUGGGGGAAUUUUCAUGCAGUCAAACCUAUAAACUCAGUGGGCCAGGCUGCUGUAAAUAUUUUUAAUCCAGGUCCACACAGUUAGCUUCACAGGUCCAGUGUCUGAUCAGAAGUACAAACUAUUCCAAGGAACCAUCUUCGCAAAUAGGCUUAUGUAUAAUCAAUAGCUUGGUGCAUGUGCGUGCACAAAUACUCAUUUAGUUAUUCUGGUCUGUGAAUGCAUGCAUUAACCUGACCGCCUGGUGCUACCCCAGCCUCCCUCCCCUCUCUGCAAACAGGAAAACGGAAUGCAUUCAUUGAUUUCGCUGCUUUGAUUUAUUUGCCUGGCUCUAAUCUCUGUGCAAGAUAAGACUGCUGAGAAUUGUCAAAUUGCAUGCUUUGGAGAAUUGAAGAGGCCAUUUCCUCUCUAUUUCCUACAUUAUAAGAUAAUGUGAGAUACAUGGUAGCAUCCUCCGCCUCCCCACAAAGCAUCAGUUAAUGGAUCUAGCUUUUAGUGUCACUGCUUUGUGCCAGUACGCACCAUCAUUUAUGCCCUGAGAAACUAAAUAGGUAUUUAUCACUGGUGGAAGACAAUUGAACUUCAAGUAAACAGAACGAAAUACCUACCGGCCCAUUUUCUUGGGAAAGUCUGUCCCUGAGUUAGUAAAAACACUAACUGUUUCUGGUGUUGGAGGCUUGUUUAAUUAGCAUUUUGGGUUCUGUAUUGUGUGGGCUGCUGCUUUUGGUGGGUUACUGCUUUCUGUCCCCUCCCCACCCUUCGUCCAAUACUGCCUCUCAGUGUUGUACGUCAUCUGGUGUUGAAGGGGGUCCCAGCUAUCAAGUACUACAGGAGCUGUUGGUUAAGCAGCAGCUGACUUUCAUGCAAAGAAGGGCUUAUUUUUAUUUCAGGGGAGGGGAAGGGACUUGUAUCACUGCCAGCUGUGGGCAAGCACUGAUCCAGCCAUUUGCUGCGGCUGGGUGGCUCUCCCAUGUCAUGGCACAACCAGACCGCCCCCAGGCCGGAGCUGUGAAGAAUAGCCUGUGGGGAAGGAGACUUGGUGUCAGCAAAGAGGAGGGGAAGAAUAGAUAGAAACGUGCUCAGGGAGAGAGAGAGCCAGAAGGGAAAGUCGCGGGUAGGGGAGGUCUUCCAUACUCCCCUAUGAGUCCACCUAGAGAGUUAAUGGGAUGGUCUGUGUAGCCAUGCACCCAAGGGAAGAGACCUGCUGUGCUGAAACGGUGGGGAAAAAGGAUGAGGAUGCUGAAAUACCCACAGGACCUUCUGCUUUAUCUCAUGGCUGAUGAACUGCUCAGAGUUUGGGCAAACUUUGGGGUUUUGUACUCUAUUGACGUCACUCCUUGGAGGAGAGCACCUCCUCACAGAUAAAGGCUAAGCUGCUGGGAGUUGGGGCAUUUCUCUGUCAAAAGUCUGUCCUGGGUACUUCCCAUCAACCCCAGGGUCGCAUCAACAGCACUGAAGUUGCUAGGUUUGGGUUUGUUAGGGAAAAAAUCCCAACAAAUUAAAGCAGAUCCAAUGUCUCCUUGCCAGCUCUUGCUGCAUUUGGCCUUGGUGAAUUAAUUUGAAAAGUAGUGAUGUGUAAUGGCAUGUGACACGUUCUCAUAUCCUUGGGACAGCUGCGUGCACUGGAGAAAUGCAGCUUCCUUCUGAACACAGCGAGAAAGAAGGGGAAAAAGAGAGGGGGGACUGUUACGAACAGCAUUAACAUAGCUUGGGGAUGAGAUCAUCCUCUCCUGUGCACCUGGGAGCUGGGAGGGUUCGUUAAAAAAACUGUUUAGUCAUUUCAGUGAGGUGGAAGAGCACUGCUCUCUUCUGGUAAUGGGCUUGGAGGAGGAGGAGGCAGCAGUGCUGCUAGUCAGGGGCAGCUUGCAGCCCCCGGCAUGCUGCCCAGGAGGUGCAGGUUCCGAUAUAAAUCCUUCCUUAAGUGCCUUCCUGCUUUGUAAAUGCUUCAUUUAAGACAAAACCUGCAAAAUUCCCACACAGCUGACGUUCUAGCCUCCUGGCCUUCCCUGUAUGACUUCUCAGUGAUUUCUAAUGCUGGCUAAAUGACAGGUACCACCUGCAGCUGGGGACCAGCACCAACAACCAUCACCUGGACUUACCUAAGGAAGGAAUGUGUUCGGUGCACAAAGUAACCCCUGCGUUUCCCUGUAAUUGCAGCAACUGUGUGUUGGACAGAUGGCCAACCCCCAGCAUCAUGUCAGGGGAGUUCUGCUUAGUUUUCUGCGCACCCAGCUUUAAUUACAGCUCUUCCAGACAUAUUUAUUCUAAGUUAACUGCGACGAUUCUGGAGCUGCAUCAGAAUAAGAUGCUCCUUCCCAGCAGCACCUUCUGCUCGCUUCCCCUAGCUGGGAAUGCCUUCCUGAUGCUCCUCAGGCAGACUUAGCUUGAUGUUUUACUCCCAUCUAGUGCUUCUUUAUUAAAACUGCUGGUGCUCUGCGUCUCGCACAGGGCUGAGCAAAUGCUAUCUUGUCUCUAACCUGGUGGUGUCUGCUCAGGAUACAUAAACUCUGUUAAACACGAGUGACUCGCAGCCUGCCCUGCCAGGACUGAGCAUCUCACGGCCCGACAGGGCAGGUCAUGAGCCUCACUGGCAGCUGGGGGUCAGCACUGCCCCAGCUGCGUGCCAAGGGAUUGCCGGAGAGGGUUAGACCUCCUUUCCCCAUCGUUUCUUCUAGAGGUGAGGAAGCAAACCUUCCCCAGCCACUGAGCAUUUGAAUGCGUGGGCACCACUGGACGAAGUGAAUAUUGUCACUGAGGAAGGCUUUGGACUGUGGGACCAGGUCCCAUGGAUUUAGAAUGAAAGUAAGUGUCUUAAGUGUGUCAAAUACUCAGAAACCACAGGCACUUCCGGGAGUCUUAUUCCCUGUCUUUCCUUUUCCUUUCAUGCUGUUUUGGUACCAAGGUGCUUUUUCUUUUUCCUUUUUUUAAAUUGACUUUUUUAUGUCUUUCUGUUCCUUCUAAUCAAAAUUCUGACCGAGCUUUCUCUUUGAACUAAUUUAUAUGAUGAAUGUUUUAGGAGUGUGAUGAGGAAAUAUGGAUAAUCUUAGGCUUGUGAUUGAAUAUUUACAGGCAUAAUACAGGCUUCAAGCCAGCUCUAAGUGUUUGGCAGCCCAUGCCUGACCGAGGAAAUAAGCACUCAGGUAAGAUGACCAACUCUCAUUAAAAUUUAGUGAAGGUCGUUAGUUUGCUCUUACUUUGUGAAUUUUCCCUGGGUGACAUAUUGCCCAAUGUGGUAUGAUAGCGUAAAUAUGGAAUUCUAGUAUGUGUUUUUUGAAGAUGUGCAAAGCAGGCAAAUGGGCAACUGGGGCCUUAACAUCACUAUAGCUAUCUCUCUUGAUUAAACUAUUAGCACAUUAAUUAAAAUUACUCUAGGGAGCACGUGCAUGGGGUGGGAAAACUGGCAAUCAUGCCAGACCACAGGUGGAGGUGCUGAGUUCUGGGCAGAGCAGCUUUAGGUAGGUAAGCACUCAUCUGGUGGGUUCCUGUACCACUGAGUCAGUGGCACCUCUCCCCACUCUGCCCUUGCCAGCAUUACCUUUUAUCUGCAGCAAGGCUUUGUGGGCUAGGCUGAGUAAUGAGAUAGGUAAUGUGAUGUCCCCACAUUUCUUUAACAUCUCUUCCCAUGGUCACUGACAAACCUUUUUGCUUUUCCUAUUGUUGAGGUUUCAUUAUGAUGAGCAUAAACAGUUCCCCAUUUUAUACCCACCACUGAACCUCCCUGAGACAUUCUGCAUUUUAUCCUAAGUUUCUGCAGUCUUUCUAUCCUCUCUGCUGCUCACAUGACCACAUAUUCCAGCUUGGAUUGAAACAACCUCUGUGCUUUUUGCUCAGCUGAUGUUUCCUGCCCAAGGUCCUGGUUUCUGCUUGGUGCUUUGGCCACUUGUGGCACAUCAAAGACCCCUUCUGCUACCAGAAAUUCAAACUCCUGCCUCUGUGUGCUGCCACUGCACUUCCUUAGUUUUAUUCCGCUGCUUCUUCAUGAGUAAUCAAAACCCUUUCCUUAAAUGCUUGGUGUUUUUUUUUUUCUCUGCAUCCUUCCUUAUUUCCCAUUCCUUUCAUCUUCCAAUGGGGUGCAAUCUGCCCUGUUUUUUUCUCCCCUUAGUUCAAACCCCAGUGAAUAUCUAGGCAGAGCUGUUCUCCUCUCUCCACAGUUAGAUGUGGCUUGCUUUCUUCUUCUUUUAUGCUUCUUUCCCUCUCUUCACAGUCAGUUUAACCACAGACGUGAAACCUCCACCGUAUUCCAUUUAGGAGCAGAGACCGUAUUGCCUGAAACCACUGCAAACCUAUAAAGUUCUGUGUUUGUUUAGCAGGAACAAAGAUUAUUUUUGCAAGAAGGUGAUGAAACAGCAAAGUUAGAGUUCUUCCAGCAGCAGAAAAUGCACAAAGGCAGGCAAUGUUUAUAGGCAGAUAAAUAUCAAAUGUAAUGCACUGAUUAAUAUUCCAGCAGGAUGGACUUUUAUGAACUGGCAUGUCAUUCUGUAGGUUUUAUUUUUAACAGAUGGGAAAGAAAAACAACAUUUGGUCUAGAGCCUCUGUCUGUCUGAAUGAGGUUUUGCUCAUUUGGGGGGCUGCAGCUAUUCUAAACAUGGCAACCUGAUUUAAUUAGCUGACUAGGAUCCUGCUUCAUCAGGGUUUUUUUUUGUGUGUGGAUAAAUGCACUCUAGCAAAACUGACAGUACUCAGAGCUCCAGACUGCUCCCGCCAAGUUUCCAUCUGAAAUGUGCAAACAAAAUAGCUGAUGAAAUAAUAGACAUGCUCACGCUGGAAACCUUUCUCUUUCCUUUUUCAGGGAAAUUGAAUAUCUAUUGAUUUAUCAUUUCUACCAGAUGGGGAUCACAGCAGUAGUUCCUCUGUGUUUUCACAAGCAGUGUCUUUCACAGAGUUUGCUUUGGUUGACAAGUUAUUUUCCUUCUGAUUUGAGUCUGCCUCUAAUGUGUGCUUUUGGGGUAUUGAUUUCACCAGCAGACAAGCUCUGAUUAUGGCUGUUGCAAGGCUGCCAAGGCCCUGCGAUGUGCAGAAGUCUCUUUGAGUUUCUUCUUCCUGAAAGGCCUAGGCUUCUUAGGGCUAGGAUGAAAAGCAUGAGACCCAUUAAGCAAAGAAGCCAAUCCUGAUGCCUAGGAGGGGUUGCAAAGGCAGUUGGAAUAAAAAGUGAUGCCAAGUCCUUUGUGCAUCUUUGUAUGUGGCACAGGUGCCACAUUGACGCAAAAUGUUUGGAGACUGUCUCCCCAAGAAAGUCUGUUGUCUUAAAUGCAAGUUCCAAUUAUAGUACAAACCCAGCAUUAGGGGCUUUUUGUUUUCAAGUGUGUUGUGCUGAGCUAGGCUUAUCAUCAAGAAGACAAGGGAAUUAACCUUGGUUUAUUAAUUUUAUGUAGACAUUAAUAGUUGCAGCAUCAGCAUUUCCUUGAUUUAGCCACGCGGGUACCACACACAGUAUAGAACUGAAGGAAUGCCAUCUGGGAAUUGAGAGCUGCCCAGUUUUUCAGUCUGCCUUCCCAAGGUUAUAUGACAUCAGUCUCUGAUCAACUGCCCUUUCUGUUGGCUAGUUUCCACCUCAAAUGAAAGGGACAUAAGUCCUGGAAAAGUAAAUUCCCCACCGAAACCCUAGAGGGAACCAAUGAGAAAAAGAGAAGAAGGUGUCAGGUCUCACUGAAUCUCCUUGUCAGCAACUGGCAGGACCUCGGGGUGUAUGUUGGCUUGCCAACCUGCUUAUGAAUAUUUCCAGAUUGGCUACCACACAUAUUGCUCCUUCCUGGUGUUGUCAAAGACAAAUGAGAGCAGGCAGUAGGAGUUACUGCACGUAGGAGAAGACAUUUUAUGGGAUAUCUGACACAUCCAAGGGAAAAAAAAAAAACACAACCAUUUUUGCUGCCCAGGAAACUGUUUGGAUACUUAGCUGGUCUGGCUUGUUUUGUUUUGUUUUUCCCUCAGAAAAAGUCUGAAUUGUACUGCUUCUUUAUUCCACCAUUCUUUCCCCCUGCAUAUUUCAACUAGCUCCCCUCUGCCAUGAAGUGUUCGUGACAGAGAAAGUAAGCCAGCUGACUGAUGGCUGAGGAAGAGGUUUUCUGCAGGUUAUGGGGCCAUGUGAAGGUGAUGACAGUUACAACAGCGCUGAACUGGCAUAGAAGAUCACAGCAGACCCUGGGCUAUGUAGUUGCUCAAUCUAGUAAUUUAAAUUGCCACCUUGCUUCCCACUGUUGCAGUUUUUCAGUGUUCUUGAAAAUUAUCAUUGCAUGUAUUUACAUAUAUUUACACAUAUACAUAGGUUUAUGCCUUGCUCCCUGAACAGGAAGGUUAUUGCUUGGUCUCAUGUUUUUGACAGCAAGUGCAUCUGGAAUCCACUUCCAGCUUCUGCACGUAGGUGAUUUCCUUCUAGUAGGACACCGUGAUAUCCACACCUGGUGCAAGGGCAGAGCUAUUCCACAGCUUCAGAGUACAAAAUCCUCCCUGUGCAGAUCAGCUUCUCGGAGGCUGAGGGGCCAUGCGUGUUCUAGUACUCUUCUGUUCAACCAAAGUCUUCAUUUUCUGUCUUUUUAGAAACCUGUUUAGAAACAUCCUUUACCUUAGGAUGAGAAGUCUGCUUUGGUCUCAAGCCCUGUCUCCCAGAGUUAGAGCAGAGCAAUACAGUAUAACCAAAGCUUCGUCUUUUGUGUGCAUAGCAAUGUGGAGUUUAAUUAAAAAUCUCACUUUCUGUUAUUUUUACUGCAGAUGACUGCUUCAGUGGGUGCCCAAGAAAACAGCAGGAUAAACUAACAAAAUGAAGCAGGGCUGUAUAGUGAAAGUGUUUGUUGUCUGGAGGACUCUGGCUUCGCUUGCUGAAGAAGGCUGAAAAUGCAUAAUGAAUGAGACAGGAUACUCCAGAAAGCCAUAAAAUGGUCUCAGAGGGCAUGUUCGACGCCUCUGUGGGGAGCUAGGUUCUGUAUCUUGCUCAGCCACAGGCUUGGUUCCUAUCCCUUGAACGGAAAAGUUGACCAUACCAUGCAUGCUUCUCAGCUUCUCAUUUUUUGUAUGUGCAAGGCAAGGCAGAUGGGACUAUUUUUUUUUUUUAGAGAGGUGUUACCUGCAGAUGAAGUGACCACAGCUUUGCCUAUGGAAUGAGAUAUAAAAAAGCUCAGAGUUCUAUAAAAUGAACCAGGAUCUAAGCCUGGGUAUUAAAAAUUCAUAGAUGUUUUUCAUAGGUCUAUACUGAAAUUUCCACCGUGUUGGUACUUUGUGUGCAACAUGAGGGCAGUAAUUCCUAAGUGUCUUAGCCAAACUGUAGAGGAAUCCUUAAUAUUUUGGAGGUACAAGAUGUUGCAGUGGAAAUAUUUGUGAGGAAAACACAAAUUUUAUGCUCGAGGAAGCAAGAUUUGGAAGGCAUGAGGUAAAUAAGGAUAAGUAAUGUGUAUUAUAGCAGCAUGCUAAAAAUAAACAGAAAUAUUUAGCCAUUCACUGAGGAAGACAAGGACGUUGUAUAAAAAUAUAGCCUACAAUCAUGUAAUUAAAGCCUGCAUUGUAAUUUGAAGAAGCUGAAGUAAAGGAGCUGUGUGGGUGGCUUUAGCUCUGUUGUCUUUGUCACUGAGUUUCUGCUUUAAUAGGUAGCUUUUCAGAUGUUGUUGGAUAUGUGACAGCGUGGUAAUAACUUCCACAACACAAGUUUAACAGUGCUCUGAAAGCAAAUAUCUUGCUUUGAAACAGGUACAUUUCACUGGACAAAAUCCUCUCUUUCAUCUCAGCGCUCCUCUAUUCUCUUCACUCCCUUCUUUGGAGGAAAGAAGGCUCCAGGGAGACCUCAUUGUGGCCUUCUAAUAUUUGAAGGGAGCCUACAAACAAGAGGGGGUAUGUCUGUUUACAAAGGUGGAUAGUCAUAGGACAAGGGGGUUUUAAAGUCUCAGUUUUAAACUGAGACAGGGGAGGUUUAGCUUAGAUAUUAGGAGGAAGUUUUUCACUCAGAGGAUGGUGACGCACUGGAACAGGUUGUCCAAGGAGGUUGUGGAUUACCCAUCCCUGAAGGCACUAAAGGCCAGGCUAGUGGUCUAGUAGACCCUGCACAUAGCAGGGGGUUGAAACUAGAUGAUCUUUGAGGUCCUUUUCAACCUAGGCCAUUCUAUGAUUCUCCUGUUGCCACCUCCAUGGGACACCACACGAGGGCCAACAGCUUUUGGUUGGCCACAGGUCCUUCUGACACCUGUGACCAGGCAUUGGAGGUUCCCUGCCUCAUCUCUGUAUCUCACAGCUCCUGGAGUGGGCUGUGACAUAAAUUCCUUGCAGGGAGUACGGUGUGAUGAGGAAGCUGUGCUGGCCACCCCACUCAGCCCCACUGCCAUACCGUCUGUGGCAACAAUGGUGUGUGGUUGCAGGAGGCAGUGAUGCUGAAUGCAGGAAACCUGACGACAGGGUAUAUUUUACAGCAUGGCAGCUGUAACGCAGGAUCAUAAGAAAUGUUUGCAUUUUGAAAUGCUUUAUCUUCCAUUUAAGGGAUAGUGUUUCUGGCAGGGAAAGAAUAUAUAAGGGUAUUAAAUGGCUUUCUUUGCAGGCAAUUAAACAAGGAAGCCGAUCAAAGACAUUUAAAUAAUUGUAACAGAUGUUUAUUGCCUGAUGCAGUUUACUGCAUCCUAUUAUUUCUGUUACAUACAGGAGAGAAGAACACAUGGCAAACUGUACCGCAAAAGAAAUUCUUUACUGCCUUGUGAGGAACGUGGCUGCUUCUCUGCCUUCUUAAUUGUAUCAUGUUGAGAACAAGUCAGUAAUAAGUAGUGUUUGGAGGGCAGAGAAGUGGCUUACUGCCUGGAGGAGCAGCAGCAAGUGGUGUGCAAAGACAUGGGGUUGGUGGUAAACACCUUUGAGACAACAGACUGCUGUGGGAUUGCUUCAAGAGUGAUGCUCAGCUCACUCACAUUAGGAAUUUCAGUUCCUCCUGAAGUUAUGCAGUUAGUACUGAGAGGGACAUCCUGGCUCAGGACAAAAGUGUUGGUGGCACUGUAAUCCUCAGUGACAUCUGGGAAUGGCCUCAGGUGGGCAACUAGGCAUCAAUAAAAGGCAAGCAUGUGACAACUCCCCCAGAUACUCCUCAAACAUUUUUGUUGUAGGGCCAGAUGUGUUUUCUUUGUCGUUAAUAACAUAAUAACAUACUUUAGUACUGUGUGUUUAAUUCUAUGUAUUUAAAAACAGAUUUUUCUUGCCUUGAAUUUAAGUGUUCAGAAUAGCCUAUGUAGGACAGUAAGUACCCUAGAGGAACCCAUGAGCUUUUCAUCACCAAUUAAAAGAAAGGGAUGUUUGUUUCCCUAAACAAUAACAAAAAAUUCUAACAAUGAUACUCCUCCCAAUCCCAAAUCCCCAUACAAAAGCCUAUAAACAUUCAAAAUCUAGGCUAGUGUCCCUCCACUUGUUUUAUCCUUGGCUUUGACUAAAAUCUGAGGCUUUUUCAGCAAACAUCUCAUAUUUUCAAAUUCAGUAAUGACUUCAUACAUCCUACUAAUAGAAAAAAAGACUUAUUGCCAUCAUUUCAGAACACAACUGGAAUAUUCAAUAUUCCCCAUCUCCCUUCCUCCCUCUUGCUGAAAGAGGAAGACUUCAGGGAGACUCUUUCUCAGAAGGAAUAACAAUUAUUUGAUGUGUUAUUCUUCCUCUACAGAUCACACCUCUCAUCUGGGGCAGAUCUUUUCUCCUCCUUGUGUCCUGACAUCAUCAUAGGCAGCAAAGUCUGCAUUAAAGACAUGAACUAAUGACACAGGCACUGCACUCUAAGAGGUGGUUCCUUCAUGGGCAAUCCACAUUGAGGUGAUGCACAGCAGGGAAGGGAGCUGGCUCCAGCACCCAUCAGGAACUGCUGAAAGGUACUCUUGCUCCUGGGUUGUCAACACAAGAUUUAGUGUGAGUUCCUGAAAGUGUCUUAACAGGCAUAGAAAGCACUGAUUCCCUCAAGUCUGCAGAAACAUGAUGCACAGCAACCAUUAGCACUGGCUUACAUUGCAGAACAAAUUCUGUGGCAGGAUGAGCCAGGUGCUAUGAUAGCUAUGAAAUAGCUAUGAAAUAGCCAUGAUGCUAUUUCAUCUGAGUGAGAGAGGGAAUGAAUUUGGGUCCUGGGGGAGCAUAGAAAGUGGAUGUUAUGCAACUCCUGAAAGAAUCAAGAGCUGUGGCUGUAGCAACUGCCAAUAAAUAUACUCAAGUACUACUCUGCUGGGAAUAUCUACAUGAGGCAUGAAGUGUGCUUACACCAAAUUACCUGAGGACCGCAUGAUGUCAGUCACAAGGAAAACAAUGCUGUGGGUCUUGUAGAUGGUCCUCAGCCUUGCUAUGACAAGAAGGUGCUGAGUGUUUGAAUGGCUCCCAUCCACUGUGAUUGCAUGAAGACAGGUGGGUCUCUGGCCAUGCCUACUCUCAACCUGCAUGGCAUGUUGUCUGACACUGGUAAGGAGUGUCUCAAAUCUACAUGAGGCAAUCAACAUCAUUUUGUGGACAAUUUUACAUUUGAAAGCAUCUCUCUGGAGCUGUUUGUCUUCAAAACAGAGAGCCCAGGAGUGUUUAUUGCCUGUAGGCUUGGCCUGGGAGAAAAUGAAACCAGCUUGAUACUGGAGACUGGGAAAUGAUACCAUUGUAUCCUGUGAAGGCAAGAUGCAAGCUGGCAUCUCCCUGCUUCCUCUCAUCUGUAACUCCAGAAGAACUGUCUUGGCCUCUUUGGACUAAAAUGUUUCAAUGCUUUCAGCUCAGAGCAGCAUUUGGAGACCAAGUUUUUCUUCUGGUAAAACAUAAACUACAGCACAGAAAUAGAAGUAAAACAUUUGUUUGCUCAGCUCUAGUAACUUGGUGCCGAGGCAUGCCCGCAGGUAUGCUUGUACUGUAAUUGCUGCAGCUGUUAUUCUGAAUUGAAUACUUUUCCUUGCUUGCUCCUCUUCCUCUUCAUGCACUGUAGUUUUAUAAAGCUCAAGUUGCUGAUGAUGUGCUGCACAGGAUGGUUUUGAUGUGUUGUCUGGGCAAGACUAUCUUUGACAGCUACCUUUUACUCGCUGGGAGAAACAGGUCUAGGACGUGAUUCCUGCUCCCUCUUGCUACUCUCUAAGUGUUGUUGCAGGUGAAAAGGAAACAUGCCUCGUACAUAAAGUCACUAAUUUAUUAGUAGCAUAAUAGAAAUCUCAAGUCUAAUCCAAGAAUUAUUAUUGAUGCAGAUCUGGUUAUAGAAAGAGGAGGAAUACUAUGAAGAAAAGUCUCGGUAAUAACAUGGUUCAGGUUGUUAUGUGUUUAACAUCCUAGUUUCUACACCUUUUUUUUGUGCAAUGCUUACACUUCCAGUGGGCCCAUGUAACAUCAAAAUUUACUGUUAAUAUUGCCUUUUGUUUGUGCUAGCUACUAUGUCUCUAUUCUCUUCAUUAUAAAACUGGUUUUGUCCAGCUCCAGCCUUGCAUUUCUUUAAAUGAACACUGGUGGGUUGUUUAUAACCAUGGGAUCACCAAUGCCAGCCUGCGCUACUUCUGUUACCAUCCUAGGUCUGUGCUGCUCCUCACCAUGUCCUGUGGCUCUGCCUCACAAGGUUCUCUAUAAUGUAUCAUUAUGUUAGAUUAAUAAAUAUCCCAUUCUUUAUAUAAUCACUGCUUGUUACUGCGGUCUAUAUAAAGUCAUGGUUGCAGCCUGUAAAGAUAAACAAAAGUAUAGUAAGCUAUCUAUAGCCUCCUUGUAAUCUGAAAAAAAAACUGCUAUUACAGAUGAACCAAGUAAAAUAAGCUGCAGGUGGGUCAUGAGAAGACCAGGCAUAGCCAGCCUGGAGAGCCUCUGUUGAGGCCUUGCAAGCUUGGUACAGAGUUUGUGGCUUGUUCCUAGCACUGGCAAUACUGAUUUCUUGUGCUCUCAUGAGCUUCCUUAUUUGUUUUGAUGAUGCUUCUGAGUUGCUCUGAUCUAAUGGCACUUGCCCUUUCCUGGUUCAGUAUUUCUUUCACAUUUUUUUUCUGUUACGUGGGGUCUGCAGGAUAAAUACCACUGGGUGGGAGAUGGGUAGGGAAAGGAGGAAGGUGAGCAAAGGAGAAUCAGUCUACCCCAGCAGUGGGAUGAGGAUCAUCAUCUCCACUUCUCAGCACAAACAGAUUUUACUAAACUUCCUGUAAGUUUGUCAAGAGUGGUCUUUGACCUUCUGCUUGUCCUGGCCAUCGUAGAGGGUAGGAGCUCAACAAAAUCUCUCUCCUCUGCUUCCUGACUACUCAAGGCAUCCUUCCUGGAAAGAAUGAAUCACUCCCCAAGUGUCAUAGGAAAGACCAUAAGCUUUCCUUAAAGCUAAAGAAAUUCCAGUGUAAUUUCUCAGCUCCAGUGUGGGUCACUCCCUGGCACACCAGGGGCUUUCUUCAUGAACAGAAACCACUCUGCAUAAAUUGCCAUGGCAGAAAUGGGCCCGAGCAAACAAAGACAAUAUGAAUUUGGCUAAAUAAUGUAGAGACAUAAAUUUAAGGACAAAGGUGAACUGAAAAGCCUCCCAAUCAGAGGUUGUCUGCACCUGCCCAUGCCAGCUCCAAAGGGGACUCUGCACCAAGGUGUCUUGCCCUUGGUCAGCUUUUCAGCUACACCCAACGAAAGCCUGUACUUCUGGAGCAUACCAGAGCAUCCCCACUUGCAGCUCCUUACCAAGUGAUAUGUGCAGAUCCCACCUUUGCCAAAUCCACUGCAAAUGUUUCCUGUUGAGACCCAGAGUCUCUCUUGGAGGCCCUGGGCCAGCUCUGGGGUCCACCUCACUGAUUGAACUCAGUGGGGUCACCCUGAGGACCAGCAGAUGGUAUCUGGCUUUUAGCUUCCUUCCAAUCUACCGUUGUCACAACUUGAAAACAAGCUAAAAACUGCUUUUCAUAAUUUCUUUCUUAGGCAAAACUCUUAGCAACAACCUUUUUGUGUGUUAGAAGGCAAUAAUCAAAUCACUCUGGCCUUUUGCUGAAGCAGAACAAAUCCAUGGCUGUGUUCCCAGCUGUAAACAAAGGUAAGCAGAUGUGGGACUGUGGUCAUCUCCUUCCCAGCAGGAGGGAUUAUCAGCACAACUCCAUAAAUAAUGAAAAUGUAAAUGGGGCAUAAAAUUCAUUUUUAGAAGAAGCUGGAGGCACUUUGUGUGCCACUUCUGAAGUUUUGGUGGAGAGUUCUCCCUGUCUCACCUUAUAAAAGUUGAGUGAUUUUCUUCUUGGUGAAUAUUUAAUAACUUUCAUGUGCUUACCUGAUCCCCUCUCCUCCUCCCCUCCUUCCUUCCUUUUGUAUUCUUUUCAGUGUUGUGCUUGCUUACUUCUUAAAAUGAUGAGUUCUUUUACCAUCCACCCCUACUUUCCAUGUCUAACUAUCUUUCCCCUUCUUUCUUCUUCCUCUCUCCUAUUCAGACUGUUUUGUAUCCUGCAGGAUCUCUCAGCUGCACACUGGCGCCUUCCCCAGAUCCUAUUGCAGCCUUUGGGCAUCACCUCUUGUGCUUGGUUAUGAGUUUUCAGAAGCAGUGUCAGAGUAGCUGUCAGGAGGGAUGCUGAAAAUAUUAGAAAUUCAUGGAAACUACUGUUGUAUUCUCAGUUCGGGUCUCAUCACUGAGCAUAGAAGAUGGUGUGUAUUACUAUUCUCUAUGUACAUCUUCAUUAUCGUUGCCAUCUGCAGAUAAUUUUAGAGACUUAUUCUGUUCUUGAGAGGAAAAAAAAAGAAAAGCAGAACAAUCCACUCUGCUGCAAGGCUGCUAGUCCUGACAUAGUGUUGAUGGUGGUAGAUUUCAUAUCAAAACAGCAUCUGCCUUGCAAACAAGGAGCAGCUGGGCACUGGGUGCACCCAGGAGGAGAUGGAGCUUCCCCUGGCACGGGUUCCCUCCCUGCAAGUUGUGGGGCCACUCCAGAGAUGGCCCUGGGGGAUGGGCUUUCCUCAUCUGCACAAACACUCUGCCUAUUCCUUUUCUGGGAUGAGGAAGCUGCUGAGCACCUAUUCUUGAUCCUUAUGUGAACAUCAUGUCACAUGAGGGAUGCUCCUACCACAGGUGGCAUGUAUACAGCAGUGGAUUUUGGUUUUUUUUUUUUUACAUACGGGACUAGGGAGCUCCUGGUGACUGUAGAUAGACCCCAGAAGAUCUCAGGCUCAUCUCCAUGAGGAACCUCUGCUGGAAGGUUGGUAAGGGGUUAACGUGUUUUUGAGUCUUUGAGUGACUUUUAAGGCUUCAUUCAGUGAUUCUGACAGUGUGAAGUCCUAGCGUUUUGGGGAGGGGAAAGUAUAACUGCACAGCAAACUUGGUAGAAGUGUCUGGAGCUGCUGCUGAAUUCAUUGAAACCAGUUGGGUUUUGGCAUUUAUUGAGGAAGGUAGAAGUAACAAAACGAGUGUAUGGCUCUCUUUAAAUGAGCCAUGUAAUGAGACUUCCUCUUACCCAUGAGUGGCAUGAGCUUUCAGAAGAGUCACCGCUUGGAAGAACUGUUUGGAAAUCCCAUGAUGCAUGAGCUCUGCUUUGUGAAAGGUUGGCAGCUAGCAUGGGAUUUUGCAGAGGCUGCUUCCAGACAUCCAGGAGGCAAGUUCUUGUCAGAGGGCACAGGUUUGCACUGGCACAGCACUCUGUCUUGGCCACAAGCAGUGUCCCUGGCAACUGGCUGCUCCCAAGAGCAUGCCCUGUCACUGGGCAUUGUAACCCAUGGGACAAAGAGCAUCAGUGCCAUGUUACUGUGAGAGCACUCAGGACUGUGGUAAUCCUGUCCCCUGAGAAAUCAGGUUGACGUUUCUCAUGGUUCAAACUGGGGAGAAAAGUGGUGACUAUUUCUGUGGAAUGUAAAUUAAAGAAAGAUAUGUUUGGAAAUACUGCUGAGUCCUGAUCAUCUCAGGGUUGCUUCAUCUUUUUUUUCCCUUUUUUUUUUCUUUGUCUUUGUAGGCAUGUCAGAAUAUUGAAUAGCAUGAAGUUUUAUAAAAUAGAUAUGCAAAAUUUUAAAACAUGGCAGCAAGCAGAAAUUUAGGCCAAUAAUAUGAUAAAGAUAAAAUGAUGCAUUUAAAUAUUAUUCAAAUGAAGUGAAGUAGCUAGAACCUCUCUGCCCAAUUUCUUCUCUGUCAAACUUGUUAGGCACUAACGUGUUCCUAUGAACAUAUUUUCAUUUUGACCAAAAAGGCUUUUUUUUUUUUUCUAUUUUAUCCAUCAGAGAUUGUCUUGUUGAUAAAUUUUAUAUGGUUCUACUUCUGCAUCUGUGACACAUCAUGUUCUACAUCAUAUCCUCCCAAAAGCUGAUGAGGAUACCGCCUCUGCAGGAGACAGUCCCUUUUUCUGAGUGAACAGUAGGGCUUUUCCUCAAGAGUGGGGUUGGGAGAAAAAAACUGCUUUGAUCCAAUCCAGAACGACAACAUCCUGUUGUCCUUCUGUUGAAACGAAAAACAUUAUAAAUUGGAAGCAAAAAAAAAAAAAUUGCUCUACUCAAAUCAUUUAACUUUAUUUCUGUUCUGAGCAUCCGUUGGCCAAAGUGAGACAAUUGCAGCAAAUGCUGGGUUUAGGCACAUCUCACAGGUUUCUGUGAAUUGUGGUAGCCAUUUAGCACAUACAGAUGAACAUUAAGACACCUCCUUUGGUGCCUGCAGCACUCAUUGCUGGGAGCCCUUGGAGAACCCAGUUUAACCUUGUCUUUCAUUGGGCGGCAUUUACAUCCACGUGCCCCUGGAGACUUCCCUAAUGCCAUGAAUUGGGCAGUAUCCUGGGAUGGAAAAAUGCCAUUUCUCACAUUGAUGGUUUCCAGUAGCUAUAAAGCACUCCAAUGUUUAUUGGAACAAAGGCUGGAACAUAAGGGUUUCUCCUCUGAGCCCAGUGCCCUCAACAGAUGACGACUGAACUGGCUCAUCAAAUGUUUUAGUCUUUGUGGAAAUUAUAUCAAUUCCAUCAGGAGAAAAUGAGGAAAAUUUACCUCUGAGUGCCCAGAACCAAGCUGGUAAUAUUACUGCCCAAAAAGCUCUGGGAGUCCUGGUUACAGUCAUCUCCUCUAGUCUGGCAGACCUGACUCCAGGUUUGAUGUCAUCCAGGCAUCUUUGAUUUCUUUUUUGUGCUCACAGGGGAAUAGAGAGAAGGAUGGCAAGGGGGUCCCCAGUGUGUUCAUGGGAGAAGCAGCAGAUUUAAAAUAUAUUUGCAAUAGUAGCGAACAAAAAUGUUUGCUCUACAUGCAAUCCCCAGCAGUUUCUCCUGCCCUUGGAGGCAGACGGAGUGAAACUCUCGGUGUUGUCUCCUGGUCUUUGCCUCCUUCCCUGUUUUUGCACUGGCUAAUGCCCAGAUGAGUCAACCUCUGCAGUCACGUUAAGUAACAUGAUGUGGAGGUCUGUAGAACAGGAUUUGGUGUCAAGGAGGGAAACAGGGAGUGCUGAUUUAAGGUCCCUGCAGCUCUCAUCUCACGUCAUGAAAGAGAAAGCAGAGAACAGAGUUGCAACUCAGGGACACAGAGCCAUGUGGUGCAUGUGCUGAAGGAGAGCUGCUUGCUGAAACAAAUCUCCUGGUUAAUGACUAGCACCAGGAGUUACAUCUGAAGUUACCAGUUGGCAGUGCUCGGCACACAUUGAUAAAACUCCAGGGAGGUGGCUUGUCUUGCCUGAUGCCAUUUUUUAGGUCAUGUAAUACAAGAUCUGGGAACAGAGGGGGAAAUAAUUUGUCUGUAUUAAUAAAAGCUUACAGAGCUCUGUGGAUUUACAUGCCUCUUUGCAAACUUAGAUGUGUUUCUUACCUCAGGGAGUUUAUAUCUCCAAACCUUUCACAGGAAGCCCACUGAAUAAAUUCAGUUAGUUAUUUGGACAGGAUCAGUGGUGAGAUGAGAGUCAUCUAGCUCUGACUUUAGAAGUGAAUUGGAAGUCAACACCUGCAUGAGGUAAAUUUGAAGCAUUAUGCAAACUUACUUGUUUAAGCUCCUGACUAAGAAGCUUUUUUGUUUGCUUCCUUAUUUUUGUCAUGAUUUCCUCUUUGUACCAGAAACAUGCAAAAUGGUGCUGCUUUCUGCAGCUGGCCCCUGCUGUGCCUGACCAGUAGGGCUGCAAGUAGGCAGACAUCUGCUAAGCGCCAUGACACAUGAUUGCUGGAGCUGAGCAGCAAGGAGGAGCCCAGGCAGACCAUCCACUAUAGCAGAACUGAAUUUUUGCCAUCCUCAAGAAUCUGGAAAAGCAAAGACCCGGCACUGACUGUGCUUAAGGCAGUGACUUUGUAGUCUUUGUCAGGGUGCUGCCUGAGGCUAGCUUCUGCUUGGGUUACACCAAAGGGAGGAAGGUCUGCAUGAGUUCUUUAGGGACCUCUAAUGAAUAUUAAGGGCUUUAGCAAUAUGAAACUUGCUUGAUUUUUGGGUCUGAGUGAAGUGUUGCUAUGCUGUGGUGAACCUGAACUUUGCUUCCUUGGUCCAAAGGCCUUUCCACGCCUUAAAAUAGAAAGAAGGGAGUUGUGUUCAGUUAAGUGAAAGGCACAUUACCUUGGACCCAUCUUUGUAACAAGCUGCUCCCGAAUUGCAGUUCCAAUCAGAUCCAGAGACUAAAGUUGUAGCUGGAGCCCAUUGACAUCAUUAAUGGAAGUGUUUCAUUUAAAGCAGCAAGGAGCUGGCUGGCUGUAGUUGUGAGAAGCACCUCUUGCUGUUAGCAGGCAUUGGUCCUGCUGCGAAGGGGUUAAAUGAAUUCUGCCGGCCCUGGGGAAUGGGGAACUCAUUAUUUUCUUGGAGCAGGGAGGGGAGAGGGGAGGAAAGCUGAAGCCAGAGACAGAGAAAAGCCUUACAAUGAGGCCUCCCAGCUGCCCUUGGUAUAGGGUGCAGGACAAAGGGCUAGGAGGGCUGGGGCAGGCUCCAAGCUGGGCACGCACUGGCAAGUGGGCCCUGGCCAUUCAUGGCUGGCAUGGGGGCUAUGUGCCCAGAGGUGAUGCUGGACAGGUGGUUUGAGUUCAGUUAGCUGAACCUGUUGUCUGCACUUUUGCUGAGUUCUGUGGGAGCACUGGCUGAACCAGCGCCUGCUCAGCCAGCACACUCUGUUGCCUGACCUGCAUGGCCAUGUUGCUCACGUCAGCUGUGGGGUGACUCAGUCAGGGGUGGCAGUGAGAGCUCCAGUCUUGUCUUCUGCUGGGCUGACCCUUGACCUGAGCUUGAAUGGAAAGUGCUUCAUUAAUUUGGACUUCUUUUUUCUCCUAAAAAUUCUGUCACUUUAAAAGAUUUCAUUUCACUAGGAUUCAUAGAAAUCAAGAGGUACAGCUUCCUAACAUCCUUUAUUUUCUGACUUAAUGGCUUUUAGAGCUGCAUUACAGCCAAAAAGAAAGAGGAUGAGAGAAAAGUGUUAAUGUAGGAGCAAAGAAGGUCACUGGGAAACCUGGCUGCACAUUCAGAGAGAGAUUUUCCUGUGUCCAGGGAGUCUAGAGCCAAUGCUAAGGACAGCCCUUGAAGAUGUCAACAGACAAAAGAGAAAUAAGCCUAAAUCUAAAUCCUGGUCUUAAUAUACUGAAACCUCUGGGAAUCCAGAUCUAGCUCCACUCAGGUGCAUUGCAUUUCAUAGGCAGGGCAGAGAGAGAGUUUUGGUUUAUUUUUUUCCCCUCUUUUUCCUGAGGAAAGGAAACAAAAGGGAACACUUUGGGUCACCCUAAUGAACCAGAUUACGACAUUGUUUUAGCACUGUUUUACCUAACAUCUCAAGUAAGAUGUUAGGCAGCCUGAGGCACUUGUAGGUCAUGGUGCCCCCAAGCACCACCCGGAGCACCCACCUCUGCCCACAGGGCAGGGCCUCCAGCCCAGCACCCCGCCUAGUCCCACCCAAGCUGUGCUCCUUGGGCCCCUCCUCCUGGACGACCUUGGGCCCACAUCACAGCCUGGGUUUCUGCACCAUCUGUUGCUAAUCCUGUCUGAAACCAUCUAAACCCUGGUCCUGACUCACCCC